rnacentral:rRNA from 1 species
GAUGAACGCUGGCGGCGUGCCUAAUACAUGCAAGUCGAGCGAAGCGGGGACGGGUGAGUAACACGUGGAUAACCUCCUAUAAGACUGGGAUCACUUCGGGAAACCGGAGCUAAACCGGAUACUUAUAGAUGGAUCCGCGCUGCAUUAGCUAGUUGGUAAGGUAACGGCUUACCAAGGCAACGAUGCAUAGCCGGCCUAGGAGGUUAAUCGGCCACACGGAAACUGGAAAAGGUCCCGAACCCCUCGGGAGGGAGGCAGGGGGGAUUCUUCCGAAAUGGGCGAAGGCCGAACGAGGCAAGGCCGGGGGAGGGAUAAGGGUCUUCGGUUCGAAAAACUCUGUUAUUAGGGAAGCGGUACCUAAUCAGAAAGCCCCGGCUAACUACGGGCCAGCAGCCGCGGUAAUA